AGAGAGAGACAUGCGCGCAUAUCAAUAAGCGGAGGAAAAGAAACUAACAAGGAUUCCCCUAGUAACGGCGAGUGAAGCGGGAAGAGCUCAAAUUUGAAAUCUUAAAGGGUUUCCCUUUACGAAUUGUAGUUUAAAGAAGUGUUUUCUGUUGAGGUUUUGGUAAAAGUUCUUUGGAAUAGGACAUCAUAGAGGGUGAGAAUCCCGUAUUUGACCAUUUACUUUCAGCUUUGUGAUACACUUUCAAAGAGUCGGAUUGUUUGGGAAUGCAGUCCAAAAUGGGUGGUAAAUUUCAUCUAAAGCUAAAUAUUGGCGAGAGACCGAUAGCGAACAAGUACCGUGAGGGAAAGAUGAAAAGAACUUUGAAAAGAGAGUUAAACAGUACGUGAAAUUGUCAAAAGGGAAGCGUUUGACACCAGUGUUGUUUUUCUGAAAAUCAAUUAAAGAACUGUUUAUGCUAAGUUGUUUAGACUUUAUCAGCUAACUGUUUAGUUUUGAGCUUUUCUUUAAUGCACUUUUCAGUUAACAGGUCAACAUCAAUUUCUUUUGCUGUAAAAAAGCUUGAGGAAGGUGGCUUGAGAUUCGUCUUAAGUGUUUAUAGCCUCUUGCCUAUGCAGUCGGAGAGAUUGAGGUCUGCAGCGUAGAUCCUUCGGGGCUAAAUGCAUUUGUGCUAAGUUAUAGCAUUUUAUAGACAACUUGUUGACUAUGAUUUGUCUUGUAGCUUACUCGCUUAUGUUAUUUUACCUACGCUUAGGAUGUUGAGCGCAUGUCUCUCUCU
rnacentral:rRNA from 1 species